GGGAGCUCGGCCCGGGCUGUUCGCUGGGCCGGGAGGCGGCAGCGCCCCCGGGCCCCCCUAGUUCGGACUAUUCAUUCAAGUUCCUGGGGCCCUGCGCCCGAUUCGGAGGUGGCACCCGCCGCCCUCCCUGCCUCUGUGCCCCCGUUUCCAGCCACCGCGCGGAAAUUUAGGUCAAGGACGCCGGGAGCACACCCACACCCUGCGCUCCCAGGGCAGUCCUCGAGAACCCCGGGAUCUGGGGGGCUUGCGGAUGGAGGAGACCCUCCUGCACGAACACCAGCCACAAGUUUUAUUUUCCCUUCGCGCGGCAAGUUCUCUGGCUCCCGCUCCACACUGGCACGUCCUGCACGGCUCCCCGCCCUUCCCCGCCAGAGGCAGAAGUCAGUGGCUACCUUCCUGAUGGAGACUUGAACAAACUGUUAAGUGGUGAGCUGGGAGGAGACCUGAUGGGGCGGGGCCCCGAGCACUGCAGUGUCCAAGCCAGAGACUGAUAAAGGACUAAAGGAGAAGGCUACUACGUCACUGCACUGUUUUUCUUAAGAUUUGGAAAUCUGGUGUUUUGGCUAACGAGUUGUGUUCCUCUUCGCCUCUUAUGACUCUCCUUUCUCACCUCCAGUUCAAAAUGACUGCAAGCAGCCAAGCCACCAACUCCGUCUUGAUGAAAGGGGCCGGGCUCCCAGAAGAAAAUAGCUUUGCCUUUCAACUCCACCUGGAAACGGUUGACAUGGCGCUACCUUCACUCAAGCCUCUCCACUAGCCUUGGCGCUUCCCCCAUCUCUGCCAAGGCUGGCCCCUGCCAAGCCAAUCUAAAUAUCACAGCUGGAAGUACAGGGUCUCCCCCGCCCCCAACCCUUUCUCCCACACUCUAUACGUUGUACCUUGGGACCUUUCAACAUUCUCUAUGGUCAUUCUGAACACCCGCACCCUGCCCAUCCACUACGGCAACAGGCUCACAGACCCACAACUACACAUUAGAUUUUUUAAAAAAAACUUUUGUUCCCCCUUUACACAAUACAGGAGGUGGCCACAGCAGCCGGACACAGCACCUCAACAGUGUUAACUCUAUUAUGUAUUUGUAUCUCCAGAAGGCCCUUCCAACAAAAUCAACAAAAUUGCCACUUAAUAGAAGAAACGCGCACUUUGGAGGACUGUGGGUGAGCGCGCCCUCUACUGGUGAUCAGAGGAAGUGCUUUUUACUGUAGGUUCCCUCUUCUGGUGGAGCAGGGGAAAAAAAAAAGACUGUCUCUCCAGAGUUCAAGUUCCUGCUCCCAAAUUCUGACAUCUAAAUCUCCCCAAUUUAGGGGUUUCCUGUAGCUGAUGCCAAGACCCACCACGAUAGCCCAUGCUGCAAUUUCUACAAUUAAUACCAGUCAGCUAAAAAAAAAAAAAAAAAAAAAAAACCUAAAAGGAAGGAAACUUCAAUAAGUUGGAAUGGAAUCUGCUUAGGCAAACAUGGUAUUGACACUUACAGAAGGACAGAAGGGGAAAAAGGAGCGAGAAAGAAGUAUUAGGUGUAACGAGAACAAAGGGUAGACUGUAGCGUAAAUUGCUCGCUGGGCAAGACACUCUUGCUAAAAAUAAAACUGCCUGGAGAGGACAUCACAAAUAAAGAUGUGCUGUGUCCAUGGCAGGAGGAGCCAGCAGCCUUGUGAAUCAACGCUACAAUUAGAACAAUACCAAAACGGGAUCAUCAUCAAAGGCAGGUAGUCAUAAAUGUGACAUGAAUUUGAAGUGACCCAAAAAAGUUAAUAAUGUCAGCAUCCUCUUACUUUCAAGGGUGGGACCUCUCAACAGAGACCGGCCCCAUUUCUGGGUUCUAAGCAGGCUCUCGAGGUUCCCAUCAUCUGCUCGGCCAAUGUCACAUGAGAAAGGAAGGCAGGGCCUGGUUUUGUGUCUACUAGUGUAGGUCACAGAUAAUUGCAAGCAUCAGGGGGAAAAAAAAAUCAAUUGCCCAAGUGGCUGAUGGGAGGAGGCCUGGCCUGACAGAAGGCAUUCAUUAGAAAGGCCCUUGUGUGAGUGGGGGGGGGGGUGAAGUGGGGGAUGGGGGUGGGGGAAGGUUAGCCCAUCAUAGGCUUGAUGUGAGCCCACUGCACCGGGAGGCUGUGGAGAACACAAGUGCAAUCUUCAGCUCUAUUAAUAGUAUAGCCGAGUGUGCAAGAACGGAGGCGGUAACUCCAGUCUGUGCCAGCAGGUCAGGCCACACACAGUUUUAUGCUCUGUCCUGCAGACUGUGUUUUAAGUCUGGCUGGCAAAUUUAAGUUUCUCCAGACAAUCGUGAGGAUUGGACUUUAGUCUUUAGACAAUGCCACGAUAAGCCUCACAAUCCUUUCACAACGGGCAAUAUCAGAAUGGCUCUCUACCAAAUCCGUGGCGCCUCAGGAGCCAGGACUCGGAAUUGUGCUUCUGGUAUUUUGAGCUUGAGUGUCCCUAGCCGUAUAAAGGGACCAUAAUUACCCGAUCUGCCUUCAACAUCAUUUGGAGAAUUGUCUGCUCAUUGGAGCCAGAGUGUGUAGAUCAUCUAUGGAGGAGUCCACUGGGUACCAGGCAGAGGGGACAUGAAGACAAGUCAUGCCACUUGUACUUGUCAUUGAGGAGCCUUAAGUCCAAUCAGGACAGACAAGCCCACCAACAGAUACUUUGUAUCCAGUGUGACAGACAAGGAUGGGCAUGUGUGAUGGUUUGAACUGUGAUGCAAUUAAAGUCCUAAAAGAGUAAUGGAGAAAACCAGAGCUCACGUGGCAUAGGCAUUUGCAAAUACAGGAGGAAAGGGAGCCACUGGGUGUGAGAGAGGAGAACCCAGGGAUGGAAAAACAUUAGAGCCACAGGCUGGGAAGAUGGCUCAGUGACUGAGUGCUUUGCUGCACAAGCAUGAGAACCUUAGUUCGAAUCCCCAGCACCUGUGUAAGAGGUUGUCAUGAUUCCAUGUACCCUGUGGGAGUGGAAAUGGGAGGAUAUUUGGAGUUGGUUGGCUGUCAGCUGUCAGCCGAGCUCCAAGCUCAAUGUGAGACACAGUGUCAUGGGAGUAAGAAAAGAGGGACAGAGUGGGACACCUGACGUCCUCCUGUGCCCCUCCCCAUGUAUUCAUACAGGCAAACACAACACAUAACAGAGAUAGAGAGAAGGGGGAGAGGGAGAAGAAGGAGAGAUUAGAACCAGGAAAAUUCAAGGUUACAAAAGACAAUAGAAGCAGCUACCAGUGUUACAUGUUAUCAGGAAGAUGGGGAGUGAUGGGGGAUGCCAAGGCUGGAACCACAACUCAGUGGUUAAGAAGUAGACUUGCUGCUCCUACAGGAGAACCUGGGUUCAGUUCCCAGCACUCACAUUAGGUCACUCACAACUGCCUGUAGUUCCAGCUCCAGGGAUCUGAUGCCUUCUUCUGGCCUCCACAGACAUCUGCACACACAUGAUGCACAUGUAUACCGCACUCAGACACAUACACAUACAAUACACCAUAAACCUUUAAAAAGAAAAAUGGCAUCAUUGAGGUGAAGGGGGAAACACUGCUAGUCCAUUCACUGGUGGGAGGGUGUCCUAGUAGGGGUGACUGCUGUGAUGAAAUGUGAUAACCAAAGCAACUUGGGGAGGAAAAGCUUACACUUAGAGGUAGCAGUCCAUCACUGGUGGAAAUCAGGACAGGAACUCAAGCAGGUCAGAAACCUGGAGGAGGGAGCUGAUGCAGAGGCCAUAGAGGAGGGCUGCUUACUAGCUUGCUCCUCAUAGCUUACUCAGCCUGCUUUCUUACAGAUCCCAGGACCACCAGCCUAGGGAUGACACCACCCACGAUGGGCUGAACCCUCCCCCAUCAAUCACUUGUCAAGGAAAUGCUCUACUGGCUUAUAUACACCCCAAUCUUAUGGAAGCAUUUCCUUAACUGGGGUUCCCUUCUCUCAAAGUACUCUAGCUUGGUCAAGUUUGGCAUAAAAUUAACCAGCACAUUGAGAUUGAAAUUUCAUCCACAGUGGUCAAGAUUUUUCAUAAAGAUAGCACUGGACGAGUACCACAUGUCUGUAACGCUGCCAUUGUGAUAGCUAAGGCAGGAGGAGCCUGGGCUCAAGGUUUAGGGUGUAGCUCAGUGGUAGAGCAUUUGCUCGGCGUUCACAGGCCCUGGGUUCAAUCCAUAGCUCCUCGAACAAAGCAAAACAAAACCUUCCAGAAAACUCAUGAAAGCAGAAACUGAUUUCAUUUAGAAAGUUUGAUGAUUGAGAUUGAUUGAUUGAUUGAUUGAUUGAUUGAUUGAUUGAUUGAUUUUUCAAGACAAGGUUCCCUGGCCCUCCUGGAACUUGUUUUGUAGACCAGACUGGCCCUCAAACUCAAAGAUCCACCCAUCUCUGCCUCCCAAGUGCUUGAAUUAAAGGCGUGUACCACCAUUCCCAGCCUAGAAGAAUGCAUUUAUCAGGCACCUAUCACACACGCAGAAUAUUACUAGACAUUAUGAAAGUUCAAACUGCUAACAAUUCUGUUGGGCCGCACUUCACUAUUAGUGAUAAGCCUAGCACAUUCCCAAGAAUAGUGGGAAACCAUGGUGUGACUUGUGCAAAUGAGGGAGGCAGGCAGAGUGGAGUCUCAGUGGCCAGUGGCUCUGGUCCUGGGUGACAUUCCUUAUAGUCACAAAGAAGGGGCAGAAAAAAAAAAAAGAAUGUCAUCUCUGUGAUGCAGGUAUGGUGACCUCCUGCUGGCCUCCACCUUGUUCGUGGGUGGUUUCCUCUCCCAAGAGUCCCUUUCCAGCACAUUUCUUGUCUUCACAUCCCUGGUGUUUCCUCCCAUUUUGUUAUUGACCAGUGGGAUUAAUAUUACUCUUUACGGGCUGGAGAGAUGGCUCAGUGAUUAAGAGCACUGACUGCUCUUCCGAAGGUCCUGAGUUCAGAUCUCAGCAACUUCAUGGUGGCUCACAACCAUCCAUAAUAAGAUCUGAUGCCCUUUUCUGAGGUGUCUGAGGACAGCUACA
rnacentral:lncRNA from 1 species